CGGCUGAUGAUGAUUGAUCUCAAAGAUCUUAGCGGAUUUCAGAGAGGCCGCGCGUCGAUGAUCUGAUCUCUUGUUGUUACACACACUGAAGCCC